UCAAGCUAAGGAAGGCAGUAUGCAAUGAGCUUAUGACGAUGUAAUUUUGGUUUCAGUUACUCGAAUUACUCGAAUUAUGACAAUGUAAUUUUGCAACCAUUCUUUCCUGUUAAGGUUGCACCCAAGCGUUGGAGGCUGGAGAUCAAUUUCAGCCAGGAUGCAGUGCUGAUGCUUUCAUCAAUGAGUUUACCUAAUGGCAUCCAGGCUGAAGUUCGUGGCUUCCAACAUGAUGGCUCCUUGCACCUAUGAAAAGGCAUAAAUUGCUUGAUAUAUUGAAGCUUCAUAAGGAAUCACCAAAUAAAGGCCAAGAAUAGCAUGCUAAAAAGAGUGGUUGUUGAGGACGAUCUUUCCCAAAUGAUAGCAUUUUCUUAAUAAUGUUUUACACAUGUAAUUGCAUAUAUUUCACCCUGUACCACAUAUUUUGGUGGUUGGCCUUGUUAUUUGAGUUAAUUGCAUGAAUAUUCAAGAUCUUAUUUGACAUGGAUAAUAGCAACAUUUAUUUCUUCUAUU